rnacentral:ncRNA from 1 species
AUAAAGGCUAUGAUGAGAAUAAGUAAGCGGAAGCUGGACGCCCAGAGAGUCGGUGGAGGGUGCGAACCGAACGAACAGGCCGCUGAAAUCCGUCUCGGAGCCGUCGGCGACAAGCCGGUCCGGUUACACAUCCGUUAUCAUGUGUCGAAGGGCAUGGAAGCUAUGAGCUUUAUAUGCCGAAGUAGGGUGGCAACACGGGUAAUCUCGUCCCUUAG